rnacentral:rRNA from 1 species
CCUACGGGAGGCAGCAGUGGGGAAUAUUGCACAAUGGAGGAAACCCUGAUGCAGCGACGCCGCGUGAGCGAUGAAGUAUUUCGGUAUGUAAAGCUCUAUCAGCAGGGAAGAAAAUGACGGUACCUGACUAAGAAGCCCCGUCUAACGACGUGCCAGCAGCCGCGGUAAUACGUAGGGGGCAAGCGUUAUCCGGAUUUAUCGGGCUUAAAGGGAGCGUAGACGGCGGGGCAAGCCAGAUGUGAAAGCCUGGGGCUCAACCCCGGGACUGCAUUUGAAACUGUGCUGCUAGAGUGUCGUAGAGGCAGGCGGAAUUCCUAGUGUAGCGGUGAAAUGCGUAGAUAUUAGGAGGAACACCAGUGGCGAAGGCGGCCUGCUGGACGAUGACUGACGUUGAGGCUCGAAAGCGUGGGGAGCAAACAGGAUUAGAUACCCGGGUAGUC